GUGGGGAAUUUUGGACAAUGGGCGCAAGCCUGAUCCAGCAAUGCCGCGUGCAGGAAGAAGGCCUUCGGGUUGUAAACUGCUUUUGUACGGAACGAAACGGUCCGGGUUAAUACCCUGGGCUAAUGACGGUACCGUAAGAAUAAGCACCGGCUAACUACGUGCCAGCAGCCGCGGUAAUACGUAGGGAGCAAGCGUUAAUCGGAAUUACUGGGCGUAAAGCGUGCGCAGGCGGUUUUGUAAGACAGGCGUGAAAUCCCCGGGCUCAAGCUGGGAAUUGCGCUUGUGACUGCAAGGCUGGAGUGCGGCAGAGGGGGAUGGAAUUCCGCGUGUAGCAGUGAAAUGCGUAGAUAUGCGGAGGAACACCGAUGGCGAAGGCAAUCCCCUGGGCCUGCACUGACGCUCAUGCACGAAAGCGUGGGGAGCAAACAGGAUUAGAAACCCGGGUAGUCC
rnacentral:rRNA from 1 species